CAAGGCCUACCGCUCGAGGAGGAGUCCGCGGCCAUUAGCUAGUUGUGAGUAAGGCCCACCAAGGCAAACGAUGGGUAGCCGGCCUGAGAGGGUGACCGGCCACAUUGGGACUGAGACACGGCCCAGACUCCUACGGGAGGCAGCAGCUAAGAAUCUUCCGCAAUGGGCGAAAGCCUGACGGAGCGACGCCGCGUGGACGAUGAAGGUCUUCGGAUUGUAAAGUCAUUUCGGGGAGGAAGAAUAAGCGUACUCUAACAGAGUGCGUGAUGACGACCCUCCCAAAAGAAGCUCCGGCUAACUACGUGCCAGCAGCCGCGGCAAUACGUAGGGAGUAAGCGUUGUUCGGAAUUACUGGGCGUAAAGGGUGUGUAGGCGGGAACGCAAGUUGGGGGUGAAAUCUACGGGCUCAACUCGUAAACUGCCCUCAAAACUGCGUUUCUUGAGUAUGGGAGAGGAGUCUGGAAUUCCCAGUGUAGGGGUGAAAUCUGUAGAUAUUGGGAAGAACAUCAGUG
rnacentral:rRNA from 1 species